rnacentral:rRNA from 1 species
GCAAGUCGAACGAAGUAGCAAUACUUAGUGGCAGACGGGUGAGUAACAUGUGGGUAUCUACCCUUUGGCCUGGAAUAACACGAGGAAACUUGUGCUAAUACCGGAUAAGUCUUUACGGAGAAAGCUUUAUGCACCAUUGGAUGAGCCUGCACUUGAUUAGUUUGUUGGUAGGGUAAUGGCCUACCAAGACUGUGAUCAAUAGCUGAUCUGAGAGGAUGAUCAGCCACAUUGGGACUGAGACACGGCCCAAACUCCUACGGGAGGCAGCAGUGGGGAAUCUUGCACAAUGGAGGAAACUCUGAUGCAGCGAUGCCGCGUGAGUGAAGAAGGCCUUUGGGUUGUAAAGCUCUUUCGUCGGGGAAGAAAAUGACUGUACCCGAAUAAGAAGGUCCGGCUAACUUCGUGCCAGCAGCCGCGGUAAUACGAAGGGACCUAGCGUAGUUCGGAAUUACUGGGCUUAAAGAGUUCGUAGGUGGUUGAAAAAGUUGGUGGUGAAAUCCCAGAGCUUAACUCUGGAACUGCCAUCAAAACUUUUCAACUAGAGUUUGAUAGAGGAAAGCAGAAUUUCUAGUGUAGAGGUGAAAUUCGUAGAUAUUAGAAAGAAUACCAAUUGCGAAGGCAGCUUUCUGGAUCAUUACUGACACUGAGGAACGAAAGCAUGGGUAGCGAAGAGGAUUAGAUACCCUCGUAGUCCAUGCCGUAAACGAUGUGUGUUAGACGUUAGAAAUUUAUUUUCAGUGUCGCAGCGAAAGCGAUAAACACACCGCCUGGGGAGUACGACCGCCAGGUUAAAACUCAAAUG